ACUCUCCAUCAUUCACAAGUCACAAGAAAUAAAAUUGUCAUUCAUCUCAAACAAUUAACAUCUUUACAUGCAAAUGCCAUCAAAAGGACUUUUCCAAGGCUUGUAAUGAGGUUGAGUUAGCAAGAAAAAUUGGUUUUUCUGGAAAACAAAAUCCUUGAGUUAAGAGAGCUAUCAAGCAUUCAACAUUUAAGCACAACUCUCUUUCUCACCAAUCUCACUUAUUCCCAACUUCUUCCCUUUUCUUUUUCAUUGAACUCUUCUUCAUGCUUUUUCUUCUUUUCUUUUCUUUUUCUCAUGCAUUUUUCUUUUUCACAAUUAAGCUCAAUGUUUCUUAACAGCUUUUCAAUUUCCCCCAUGCAACCCCAAACUUGAACCUUUUCAUCACAUACAGUUAAGCUCAUCCCAACUCAAGGUAAAGAAUUUCAAGACAAGGGUUCACCUCCUGUUUAAGGCUAAGGUUCAAAAAGGGUAUAAUAUUUUAAGCUUUAUGGGUGAAAAUUUGGCUAGAGAAGGGUUUUCAAAAAUGGCCUUGAUCAUAUGACAUUCACAUGCAAUUCAAUCAAUCAUCAAGAUUCAGGAAAUAUCAUUCAUGUUUUCCUGUGAACAAUUCAUAUAAUCAUAAAAACUCUAGAGCUCAAUACCUCACACAACAUGCUUUCUCACACAAUAUUCAUACAUACACCCUGCUUAGCAUCAUAACCACAAUCAUAAUUCACUAUACACCUGUUUCACCGAAUAUCAACAUGCAACACAGCCUAAUUAUCAUCCACAUCAAUCAUCACCAAAUAAGCUCAUCAUGCAAAUUAGUCAGUCAAACAUUUUCAGAAAAGUAUUUAGGCCAAGCAUACACACUGAAAAUAAAAUUCAACCUAUUCUAAAAAAUUAAAAUGCAAAAGUAAAAGAGAGAACCUAGGUUGCCUCCUAGUAGCGCUUGUUUAACGUCACAAGCCUGACCCAAACCUGUUUGGCACUUGUCAGUAAGUGCAAUACCUUCCAACACCCAUCAGUAGGUGUGCCUUCCUGGAAUCCUUCAGUGGAUUCAAAAAUUUUAGCAUCCCUCAGUAGAUGUUAUCCCAGUAGCAUUCAUCAGUAAACGCCGUUAGUGACAUCCAUCAGUAAAUGUCUAACCAUAUAGCAUCCAUCAGUAGAUGCUAUCAUUACUACCAUCAGAAGCAGCACAUAACCCAAAAAUUAAAAAAAUUAAAUAAGAUAAAAUAAAAUAAAAUAAAAUCAAUUAAAAUCAAAUAAAAUAAAAUAAAAUCAAAUCAAAUCAAAUCAAAUCAAAUCAAAUAAAAUAAAAUAAAAUAAAAUAAAAUCAAAUCAAAUAAAAUAAAAUAAAAUCAAAUCAAAUCAAAUCAAAUCAAAUCAAAUAAAAUAAAAUAAAAUAAAAUCAAAUCAAAUCAAAUCAAAUAAAAUUAAAACGAAAUAAAAGAUAAAAAAAAAUUCAGAAACUGGGUUGCCUCCCAGCAAGCGCUCUUUUAACGUCAUUAGCUUGACC
rnacentral:lncRNA from 1 species